rnacentral:rRNA from 1 species
UACGUAGGGUGCUAGCGUUGUCCGGAUUUAUUGGGCGUAAAGGGCUCGUAGGCGGCGUGUCGCUUCGGGAGUGAAAGCCCGCUGCUUAACGGCGGGCUGGCUUCCGGUACGGGCAUCGCUGGAGUGCGGCAGGGGAGACUGGAAUUCCUGGUGUAGCGGUGGAAUGCGCAGAUAUCAGGAGGAACACCGGUGGCGAAGGCGGGUCUCUGGGCCGUUACUGACGCUGAGGAGCGAAAGCGUGGGGAGCGAACAGG